CUGCAACUUUAUAAUGACAAAUGUCAUUCAAAUUAGACCAUCUUUUAUAGAGACCCCAAGAGUGCUGACAGCUUCUGUCAGAUGACAUGAAGGACAACUUGUAGAUAAUUAUUUUCUUUGGUGGAUCCACUAGAAAGAGAUGUCAGAAGACAAGCCACUUCUACAGCAGCAAAGAAAGCUAACAGGACUCCUGACUUCCAGCAGAGUUUUUGCAGGGAACCUCUGUACUGGCCACAGUCAAUUGUUUUGUCAGCAUGCCAGCUCCGUAUACAAAAAACUUCAUGCAAAUGACACCUUUCCCAAGAUCCCAGCAAGGAUAACUUACACUCAGUCCAGAUGGCACAUAAGAGCUUAGAGGAGGAUGACAUUCUUGCUAGCUUCAAGCAUCUACCACCUGAAACAAAGAUUCUCUUCCUUUCUCCAUUCUAAGCUAACCCUAGGAACAGGACAAGGUUCAGCCCAACAGUGGAGAGAUGAGUCAGAUACUAUCUGUCCACCUAAAUGAGUUUUACUCAUAGCUAAGUCACAAAGUUGCCUUCUAAAGCACAUGGUGCCUACCAGAGAACAAGAGAUGAGUGACCCCUAUAGAAACAACUUUGUGAAAAAUCUUUUCCAGUUUUGGACACUUCACAUGUAGAUUGAUUCAGAAAUUGUAAAAGCAAGUGGUGUACCUCUUGUUUUUACCAGUCACCUUUCCCAGACCCUCAAGACAAGGAAAGACUUUAGGUUGGAAAUUACUGACCUGUGAGGUAGAGCCUUUCUUCCCUGGAUGGCAUUAAGCAUCUGUCAAGCGUCUUGGGAUCCUAGUCCACAGACUGCUUCAUGAUGACCUGACAACUACCAAAAAGAUGUAUGGAACUUGAGGUACUUGGAUAUAAUAAAUAAUGUGCAGGGAUUUAAAAAUCAAGCCCGUGGCCCAAAAUACUUAUCUUCAGGUGGCAGGAAAGAGAGCUUAAAUUUAGCUAUCUAAGGGGAAAAGAAGGUGUCUUGAGAAGUACAUAAGACCAGCUGAGGAAAAAAAAGAGAUUGUAAUUCUUUACAAUGAGAAGGAAGGCAAAGAUCUCUGAUAGCCUUCAAAAAUUACUGUGCCAUAACUAUGCAUGGUACAAGGCAGCCCAUUUCUCCUGAUCCCCACAAUGAUUUCUUAACAACACGUGUAUUCAGUACUACACCUAAAAUCCAGGAGGCUGGGUCUCAGAAACUCAGAAAACUAUGUGAUUGCAGCACUUUGGAGUCCUCUAAAGUGUACAACAGAGCAGUAACUGAAUUGACCUGGUGCCACCUGGAAAACAGAGCAACCAGCCCUCUCUCCUCACACACAGCACGGUGACCAACCCAUUUCAGAUUCUUAAGCAAAGAAAAAAAGGAGACCUUUUUUUCCUUAAGUCUACUUUGAGUUGUUGAAGGCUCUGUGUUUGCAUCUAGUAUCACCGGUUCUCCUUAUUACUGCUAUUUAUGUCAAGUCUUCCAGCUCCAGCAACACAAAAAAUACAUUUUCCAGACUGGUGAAACAGGAAUACCAAACUGUGCUAAUCGCUGUCCCCCAAAUACUUUUUGACAACCUCCUAAGCUUAAAUCACAAGACUGGCCAACACAAUUUCUUCACAACUAUUAAGUAUCUCAUAAGCUUAAAGUCACCACAUAGACAGCAUUAAAUGGUGAUGUGAACAUAGCACCAAUGCUGUUCACUCAGAUGCGUCACUUUCUACAGAACACCUCAGCCUCAAAAAUGCACUCCGUACAGUUGCGGCUUUAAUUUUUUCCCCUAGGACAGUAAAAUAUACAAGUACACAUACGCAUGUAACUAUCAUCCUGCUCCACUACAAACGUCUCCCCAGCUAAGAGUGCAGUCACGUUUCAGCUCUUCCAGUUGAAAGCAGGCAGGGCGGCUCUACCAGGCUAAUCUGGGAUGAAGGCAAAGGCAGAACAAAGAGGGGCAAUCUGCACUGCAGGAGCUGUGUCAGUUAAGUGACACUACAACUCCUGAUGGAAAAGAGACUCCUAGCAAAAAUAUUUUUCUACAUGCAGUUAAACCACUUCCUUUGAUGACAGACGUUCUAUUAGCAAAAAUAUUUGGGGUUUUUUGUUCUGUUUUGUUUGGGGGUUGUUUUGCUGGUGUCAUUUGCAGCUACCCUGAUGCUGUAGGCAAAGCUUCGUUCGCUAGGUGUAAAAACAAUAUGCUUCCACAUUCUUAACUAACUCAUGAUACCAGAAGGACAGCUACUCUAUUCUACUUCUUCCUUCUUUCCACAUAUACAGUGUUCACCAAAAAUGAAAGGCCUACACAACAGUUUUCCUUUGCCUCUAGGAAACUGAAACCCGCUAUCAACAUGACAGCUUAGGGGUUGACCGCUCACCUAUCACAAGCACAUCUACCAGGAGGUCCCUAUGCCAGGGAAACCAAGACAAGAGACAAUGCAGAGCCGUUCCUCAUCUGCUGCUGCACCCCUAUGCAAGAGCAUCUCCUGGGACCACUUCUUGGUUUGUACUCCCAAUGCAGAGAUACACCAGUAAGGUUUGACUGAUGGAAUGGCAAAUUAUAAUGAGGAAGAUAUUCCUGGAUAAGAAGAUCAGACGCUAUCAGAGGAAUUAUAUUUAUUAAGCAAGAAGUUACUGGUGCUGUUGCACUUCCCCCUGUAACAUGUUAGAAAGCAUAACAAGAUGGCAGAACAGCAAAGUCUUAAGCCACAGCGAGUGAGAAUCUGGUUAUAUGUGAUAGCAGUAGGCCCAGAAAUAAGAGAAAUAAACCGCUCACUGCUUAAGAAGGCCUAUAAGACCCUUGGGUAAGCCAGGAUCUCCAGAGGGGAUAUCCUUGCCUGCACUACCAACCCUUAAAUGAAGUCUGGGAAGAGGUGGAUCUUGGCUCUACCCCUUCCAGUCACUUCAGGUGCCUUGCAUGCACCUGAGCUCCCCCAGCUUGGCCCUGCCUUCUCACCAGGUGCUCAAUCACUGCUUCAAGCUGUGAUUUAGCAUUUCCACUACACCCACUAACAAUAAAGAUGUUGAUGUGCUUUAAGUAGCAGCUGUGCUAAUAAAAUGGACUUGCAGUAUUGUUAAUAAACAUUACUCCACAGUUGUACCACCAUGGAAACAGUGACCGGGACACGCACUUCCAGCUCCCAGAAGCUUCAGCAGUUCCAGAAACAGUCCUUCAGGAGUAGACAUGCACUGCUAGAGCAAGGAAUAAGCAAGUCGCUCCUAGAAGACUCUACUCUUCCAUUUUUAAAAACACUACAAGACUCACUUGUCAUAAUCCUAAGUUUGAACCUGACUCAUAUCUAUGAAGGUAUUGAUCUUUGUCAUCUUAUUAACACUGAAAACAUUGGUGCUAUGCUUAUUUACAAUGCAAAAUGCAGUCCUACUAGUCAAAAUUCUGCCUUUAUCUAGGGACACGGAGAGCAAAGAAACCAAAAACCCAGAGACUGAUCCUAUCAUUAACAGCAACACAACCAAGAGUGCUCUCAAGUUCAUAGCAACAUCUGAAGCACUUUGAACUCUCCUUUCAAAAACUUGGAAAGAUUAGGAAAUAAAUCCUGAAAAAGUACCUCAAGAAACUAGAGAAAAAAAGUCACCAUCCAGAAGAACGAUGAUACAACUCGAAGAGAAAAAAGAUCAUUUUCAAUUACAAUUUCUGUUGUGCUGAUGGUAAGUUUAAAAAACACCACAAAAGAUUGGACAGAAGUAAAAUUUUAGAUUCACACUUUGAGCCGAAUGUCACACAAAAAAUGCAACAGUGGACUCGUUGGCUUCCCAGUGACAGCUGGUGCCCCUCAGGUGUAAAUCAGCACUGAGGAUGUAAAGUUAGGUGGCACUAAACAGCACAGAAAUCUUCCCACCGAUCCCAAUGGGCUCUGAAUCAGACAGUACUUAUAAAUUAAAGAGCCACAUUAUUGGUGAAUUACAGAACUGCCGAGCAAACCGGGUUCUUUAAAGCUGGAGUUAUCAAUAAUAAGCAAUAACAGUUCAUUCUCCUCCAGUUUCAGAGAAAGCACAGAGGAGAAUCUCACAGGACUGCUGACACAGAAUUAUCCAAGUGCAACAAAAGAGAAAAAGCAGGCCACAGAGCAAAACCAUCCAAUAGGCACCUGCCAGAAACACGCUCACCUUCCCAAGUAGCCCAUUCGAAUUCAAGUGAAAACUGCAUCUCUCACCACAUUCUGUGAGAACAAACUCUGUUCACUACCAAGCAACACAUGUUCCAACAUCCAGCUACUCUCUUUACUUUGCAUUUCGCUUGCAGAAGCAAUAUCAAGGGGGAAAAAUCUGCCAGGCAGACUAAAAGCCUUUCAUUCUGCUGGUUAAAUACAGUCUAUAAGCUUCUAUCACAUUGCUGUGAGGGCUGCUAUACGCGUAUUUCUUGCAGUGCUGCACAGCAAGGAUACUCAAGGCAAGUUCAGAGAAGAUGCGGUGUUGUCCAGCUUCCUCAUUCAAAGUAUCACAACAGCAGCAAACUUUGACAGCUUUCAGCUCCAAGAAAAUUAAGUUUUGCCAUUUGUUUUUAGGACUUAAUUAAUUGUUUCUUUUUCAGGCAUUGCUGGAUAAAUAAGCCGAUAUCUCUGAGCUGCCUGCUGCAAGCAGACUCCAGCUAUAGCUAUCUGGCCUUCCAUUAGUUCCAGUGCAGCCAGCAGUCACACUCACAUAGAACUCUUCCAGCCCGUGAUUGAUUCAGACCCCCUAAGACAAGCAGCAGCCCCGGCUGGCUGCAGUCCCCUGUUGAACUACAGAGCAGACCAACGCGGAGCAGACCCCGCUCCCACCCUGCCCUCAGCUCACUUGCUGUCAGGGCACUACCCCGAAAGGUUUGGUCACUUUUCCUCCGCACAGCACAUCGGAUGCAACGACCGUGAAGACAGCAGCCCAGCCACAGCCAGCACUCACAGGUCAGACAGGUGCCUCGCGUGUGCUGCCUUUAACUACGCUGAAACGGUUUGAACGACCUAAGAAGUGAAAAUAAUUAAAAACUAACGCUCCGCUGCCGGCCAAACGCCUCCCACCGAGCUUCCAAGCGGCACGCUGCCCCGCCAGCCCCGCACCCGGCCCCGAGCGGGGCUCCGC
ensembl:lncRNA